rnacentral:rRNA from 1 species
CACGAACGCUGGCGGCAGGCUUAACACAAGCAAGUCGAGCGCCCCGCAAGGGGAGCGGCAGACGGGUGAGUAACGCGGGAAUCUACCCACCUCUACGGAAUAACGCAUGGAAACGUGUGCUAAUACCGUAUACGUCCUUCGGGAGAAAGAUUUAUCGGAGAUGGAUGAGCCCGCGUUGGAUUAGCUAGUUGGUGGGGUAAAGGCCUACCAAGGCGACGAUCCAUAGCUGGUCUGAGAGGAUGAUCAGCCACACUGGGACUGAGACACGGCCCAGACUCCUACGGGAGGCAGCAGUGGGGAAUAUUGGACAAUGGGCGCAAGCCUGAUCCAGCCAUGCCGCGUGAGUGAUGAAGGCCCUAGGGUUGUAAAGCUCUUUCACCGGUGAAGAUAAUGACGGUAACCGGAGAAGAAGCCCCGGCUAACUUCGUGCCAGCCGCCGCCGUAAGAC